CAGGCUUAACACAUGCAAGUCGAGGGGCAGCAUGGUCUUAGCUUGCUAAGGCCGAUGGCGACCGGCGCACGGGUGAGUAACACGUAUCCAACCUGCCGUCUACUCUUGGACAGCCUUCUGAAAGGAAGAUUAAUACAAGAUGGCAUCAUGAGUCCGCAUGUUCACAUGAUUAAAGGUAUUCCGGUAGACGAUGGGGAUGCGUUCCAUUAGAUAGUAGGCGGGGUAACGGCCCACCUAGUCUUCGAUGGAUAGGGGUUCUGAGAGGAAGGUCCCCCACAUUGGAACUGAGACACGGUCCAAACUCCUACGGGAGGCAGCAGUGAGGAAUAUUGGUCAAUGGGCGAGAGCCUGAACCAGCCAAGUAGCGUGAAGGAUGACUGCCCUAUGGGUUGUAAACUUCUUUUAUAAAGGAAUAAAGUCGGGUAUGGAUACCCGUUUGCAUGUACUUUAUGAAUAAGGAUCGGCUAACUCCGUGCCAGCAGCCGCGGUAAUACGGAGGAUCCGAGCGUUAUCCGGAUUUAUUGGGUUUAAAGGGAGCGUAGAUGGAUGUUUAAGUCAGUUGUGAAAGUUUGCGGCUCAACCGUAAAAUUGCAGUUGAUACUGGAUAUCUUGAGUGCAGUUGAGGCAGGCGGAAUUCGUGGUGUAGCGGUGAAAUGCUUAGAUAUCACGAAGAACUCCGAUUGCGAAGGCAGCCUGCUAAGCUGCAACUGACAUUGAGGCUCGAAAGUGUGGGUAUCAAACAGGAUUAGAUACCCUGGUAGUCCACACGGUAAACGAUGAAUACUCGCUGUUUGCGAUAUACUGCAAGCGGCCAAGCGAAAGCGUUAAGUAUUCCACCUGGGGAGUACGCCGGCAACGGUGAAACUCAAAGGAAUUGACGGGGGCCCGCACAAGCGGAGGAACAUGUGGUUUAAUUCGAUGAUACGCGAGGAACCUUACCCGGGCUUAAAUUGCAGAUGAAUUACGGUGAAAGCCGUAAGCCGCAAGGCAUCUGUGAAGGUGCUGCAUGGUUGUCGUCAGCUCGUGCCGUGAGGUGUCGGCUUAAGUGCCAUAACGAGCGCAACCCUUGUUGUCAGUUACUAACAGGUUCCGCUGAGGACUCUGACAAGACUGCCAUCGUAAGAUGUGAGGAAGGUGGGGAUGACGUCAAAUCAGCACGGCCCUUACGUCCGGGGCUACACACGUGUUACAAUGGGGGGUACAGAGGGUCGCUACCACGCGAGUGGAUGCCAAUCCCCAAAACCUCUCUCAGUUCGGACUGGAGUCUGCAACCCGACUCCACGAAGCUGGAUUCGCUAGUAAUCGCGCAUCAGCCACGGCGCGGUGAAUACGUUCCCGGGCCUUGUACACACCGCCCGUCAAGCCAUGGGAGCCGGGGGUACCUGAAGUGCGUAACCGCGAGGAGCGCCCUAGGGUAAAACUGGUGACUGGGGCUAAGU
rnacentral:rRNA from 1 species